rnacentral:lncRNA from 1 species
GAUUUUUCUAUGGCAACAUUUGCUAUGCUGACGUCAUUGCCACGUCAUUACUGUCAGUCAGACAGAAAUAAAAGAAAAAUGGAUGCCGUUCAGACGUACACGCAUUAUUUGGAACUGAAAAUUACGUAAUUUAUCGACCUGCUGGCUUGUAUUUGUUAUAAAUCAUAAAAAAAUUAUGGAAAACAUCAUGAACAAUAAUGAAACAAACCGAACCUUUAGCUACAAUAAUAAAAUGACCCCAUGACGCCAGUGGAACUACGUGGUUUUCUUUCAUGAUGAUUUGAUGAUACCAUAAUGGAAUUAGCCAAGUUUUCGCCGUAUUGGGUGCUAGAUGCCCCUUGGAGUUAAGCCCCAGUGCCACUAUACUACCUUACCAGUUAUGUGUGGGUGUUGUAGUCCUAAGACACCCCGGAGGUACAAAGGGCCUUCACAAACUCACGCCACGCCUUCCUAUCUUCAGCAACCCUCGUGACCUCGCUCCACCAGCUCAAACCUGCCACUCGCAGCUCAUUUUCGACGGACCGCUUCCAUGAGUAGACAAGGCACCGACGAUCACGGCUUGCAUCACCUGUACUAAUAUAGCAUGCUGAACACCGCUGUCAUUAUACUAGGAACAACGUCCUGCCCCUUCCCCGGCUGCGCACAAAUUGGAACUCCAUUGGCAUGCCCCUUUGACUGAGCAACUUGUGUAUGUGUGUGUGCUCGAAUCACAUUCACUUGCAACAGAAUGACUCCCAGGCUGACCUGGCUCAGUUCCUGUAUGUCUGAUCUACAUAGACAAUGGUUUCAAUGAAAGAGUGAAAAUUCUUCUCCAUGUACAAUCACUUUCAACGCCUACACUGACUACACCAAAUAUGAUCAUCACCCAACGUGUCUCACAUCAAGAUACUUUUCAAAAGUCAUCAAGAAGUGGAACAAUAUUUUUUUUUUCCAUUAUUGCCUGAAUAAUCCUAACUAAAAGUUAUUUCUCUAUUCUAUUUUUCCUGCAUGGAGUGGCGCUUUUCCGUCUAAUGGAACCAACAAGAACAUGUAUGCUCUGGGUUUUUAUUGUGCACCUUUCCAAUAUUACUAAUAAAGCAUUU